CUACGGGGUGCUGCAGUGAGGAAUAUUGCACAAUGGGGGGAACCCUGAUGCAGCAACGCCGCGUGGAGGAUGACGCAUUUCGGUGUGUAAACUCCUUUUAUAUGUCAAGAAAAUGACGGUAGCAUAUGAAUAAGCACCGGCUAACUCCGUGCCAGCAGCCGCGGUAAUACGGAGGGUGCAAGCGUUACUCGGAAUCACUGGGCGUAAAGGACGCGUAGGCGGGCUUGUAAGUCAGGUGUGAAAUCCUACAGCUUAACUGUAGAACUGCACUUGAAACUACGAGCCUAGAGUAUGGGAGGGGCAGAUGGAAUUAGUGGUGUAGGGGUAAAAUCCGUAGAUAUCACUAGGAAUACCUAAAGCGAAGGCGAUCUGCUGGAACAUAACUGACGCUAAGGCGUGAAAGCGUGGGGAGCAAACAGGAUUAGAUACCCUCGUAGUC
rnacentral:rRNA from 1 species